rnacentral:rRNA from 1 species
AGAGUUUGAUCCUGGCUCAGAACGAACGCUGGUAGCGUGGAUUAGGCAUGCAAGUCGAACGGGAUCAGGAGGAUAGCAAUAUUCUUCUGUGAGAGUGGCGGAUUGGGGAGGAACACGUGAGCAACCUGCCUUUGAGUGGGGGAAAACCGUUGGAAACGACGGCUAAUACCGCAUGUGGCGUCCGGUGACAUCGUCGGAACGCUAAAGGGGGCCGCAAGGCUCUCGCUCUUAGAGGGGCUCGCGCACCAUCAGCUUGUUGGCGGGGUAACGGCCCACCAAGGCUUACGGUUAGCUGGUCUGAGAGGAUGACCAGCCCCACUGGGACUGAGAUACUGCCCAGACUCCUACGGGAGGCUGCAGUCGAGGAUCAUUUGCAAUGGGCAAAAGCCUGACAAUGCGACGCUGCGUGGAGGAUGAAGGCCUUCGGGUUGUAAACUCCUGUCAUAGUGGAACAGGCGAGGGUACCCAAUACGUACCUUAGUUGAGUGUACAUUAAGAGGAAGCGACGGCUAACUCUGUGCCAGCAGCCGCGGUAAUACAGAGGUCGCAAGCGUUGUUCGGAUUUACUGGGCGUAAAGGGCGCGUAGGCGGUGAGGCGUGUCAAGUGUGAAAUCUCCGGGCUCAACCCGGAAAGUGCGCUUGAAACUACCCCACUCGAGUCCGGGAGAGGGAAUCGGAAUAUAGGGUGUAGCGGUGAAAUGCGUUGAUAUCCUAUAGAACACCGGAGGCGAAGGCGGAUUCCUGGAACGGUACUGACGCUGAGGCGCGAAAGUCGGGGGAGCAAACAGGAUUAGAUACCCUGGGUAGUCCCGACCUUAAACGGUGCACACUAGAGGUGGGGGGAUUUCACCCCUCCCGUCUCUUAGCUAACGCGUUAAGUGUGCCGCCUGGGGAGUACGCACGCAAGUGUGAAACUCAAAGGAAUUGACGGGGACCCGCACAAGCGGUGGAACAUGUGGUUUAAUUCGAAGCAACGCGAAGAACCUUACCAGGGCUUGACAUCUGAAGAAUGCCGAUGAAAGUUGGCAGUGCCUUCGGGAGCUUCAAGACAGGUGGUGCACGGUUGUCGUCAGCUCGUGUCGUGAGAUGUUGGGUUAAGUCCCGCAACGAGCGCAACCCUCGUUACUAGUUGCUAAUAUCGGUAUACUGAUAUUGAGCUCUCUAGUGAGACUGCCGGUGAUAAACCGGAGGAAGGUGGGGACGACGUAAAAUCAUCAUGCCCCUUAUGCCCUGGGCUACACACGUGUUACAAUGGGCAGGACAAAGAGCAGCCAACUCGCGAGAGUGAGCAAAUCUCCAAAACCUGUUCUCAGUUCGGAUCGUAGUCUGCAACUCGACUACGUGAAGUCGGAAUCGCUAGUAAACGCAGAUCAGCACGCUGCGUUGAAUACGUUCCCGGGUCUUGCACACACCGCCCGUCAAG